rnacentral:rRNA from 1 species
GACGAACGCUGGCGGCGUGCCUAACACAUGCAAGUCGAGCGGGGAACUUCGGUUCCUAGCGGCGGACGGGUGAGUAACACGUGGGUAACCUGCCUUGUAGAGGGGGAUAGCCUUCCGAAAGGAAGAUUAAUACCGCAUAACAUGUUUUUUCGCAUGAAGAAACAAUCAAAGGAGCAAUCCGCUACAAGAUGGACCCGCGGCGCAUUAGCUAGUUGGUGAGGUAACGGCUCACCAAGGCGACGAUGCGUAGCCGGCCUGAGAGGGUGAACGGCCACAUUGGAACUGAGACACGGUCCAGACUCCUACGGGAGGCAGCAGUGGGGAAUAUUGCACAAUGGGCGAAAGCCUGAUGCAGCAACGCCGCGUGAGUGAUGAAGGCCUUCGGGUUGUAAAGCUCUGUCUUCUGGGACGAUAAUGACGGUACCAGAGGAGGAAGCCACGGCUAACUACGUG